GGAAAACCACGCCGUUUGCAACCCUGAGAUUAAUUCUCAUUUCUUCAAUUCUUCGAGUCCUCGACUUUCCCAAGUUUCCUUCUCAUCUCAUACUCGUUUGUGUCUGUCGUUGAAAUGGUGAAACCCUAGCCCUCAUCUCACUAGUUUGCACCCCUCGAACGCCUCUCUGCCUCUCAUUUCACUCGAGUCCUCGAAGGCUCAGAACCCAUUUAUCUCAACUGAACUGAAAAGUGAAACCCUAGCCGCUAGCCGUCACUGCGAGCGCCGAGUCUGCGAGCAAUAUCUCUCUCUCUCAACUCUGAAACCUAUUAUUUUGGAAAUGAACCCAGAAGAUGAAGCUGAGGAAGAUGGUGCGAAUAUUGAUCUUGACUCACAAAGAAAGGGAAAAUGUGUUGUGCUGAAAACAUCUACUCGCCAGAAUUCCAACAGUCUCUCAAGGAGAUGAAAGAGAGAGUAGAAGAUCAUGUUGUUUAUGUUUCAAGAUCAUGUUGUUUGGAGUUUCAAGAUGUGAAGACUAAUAAAUUUUGAGUGAUGUAUUAUUAUUUCUUUUGUUCUUUAUAAAUUUAUGUUUUAGUUUAAUUAGUUGUGAUGUAUUAUUAUUAUUUUUUU